AGCUCAGUAACGGUGUGUGGGCCCCGUGAGGCACGGGGCAGGCAUUUAGAUCCGAGUUUGAGACAAAGCAGAGCACAUCUCACUCAGAGGACUCGCUUCCAACAUGCUACUCCCCAGCCUGCUGAGAGCAGUCAUAGCCUCCAUCUGCCUUGGAUCCGGCAUGACGCAGAAGGUGACUCAAGCCCAGCCUGCCGUUUCUACGCUGGAGAAUGAGGCUGCGACCUUGGAUUGUGUAUAUGAAGUUAGUGGUUCUAGUUAUUAUUUAUUCUGGUACAAACAACCACCAAGCGGGGAAAUGAUCUUCCUUAUUCGUCAGGACUCGUACAGCGAGCAGAAUGCAACAGAGGGUCGGUAUUCUUUGAAUUUCCAGAAAUCAGACCGUUCCAUCAGCCUCACCAUCACGGCAUUACAACCUGCGGACUCAGCAGUGUAUUUCUGCGCUCUGAGAGACACCACAGUGAUGCGGCACCUGUGGGAGCCCCACAAAAACCUCAGAUCUCCGCAGGAGGCAUCCCCAGCUCUGAACACCUGGGAGGGUGGCAGACAGGAAGGAAGAAGCAGGGGCUGCGCCUGGCGGGGGUUCUAAGGUGGACGCUUCACUCGAAGGAAAAUGCGAUUUCUCUGGCGCAGAGAACAUAUCAAACAGUGUCAUUCAACAAAAGCAUUUUUAUCUUCAUUUCUUUACUUUGCAGUAGAUCAUUUAGCAAAAGAUUAAAAAAAAAGUUGUUGGUGAUGAUUACAUUAAAAUGCAAGACUCAAAAUCUAAAUGGCUUCCCUGUUUCAA